GAAACUGUGAGUUGGAGCUGAGAGACACGGUGAUGCAAAUAGCAGCCUCACAGGAGAUCCAGGUUUCCCCAGUGCUGUUUUUCAAAGUCCAGUCCUGAAAAACUGAGUGACCAAAAAAGAGACCAGUGAGGGAGGCCACCAAGACACCUAAGACCCUCUGAAGGCGUGACAAACUUCAACAGCUAAAAUGGGAGAGACUGUUCAUUCAACAACUGUUGUCUGUUCUUCACCAGUCAAAGCUUUAUGGCAAAGUGGAAAAGAGAAAGUCACUGUUGAAAGAAAGCUUAUGUUAAAUCUCAGGUAGAGUUCACCAGAAGGCAUGUUGAGACUCUGAAGUCAACUGGAAAAAGGUUCUUCAGUCUGAUGACACUAAUAUUGAGAUUUUUGGCCUUCAGACUAGACACUAUUUUUGGUAGAUACCAAACACUGCAAACACAACACAACCAUUCCCACCAUGAAGCAUGCUGGUGGCAGCAUCAUAAUGUAAAGCAUGGUGGUGGUAGCAUCAUGAUGUGAAGCACGGUGGUGGCAGCAUCAUGAUGUGAAGCAUGGUGGUGGCAGCAUCAUAAUGUAAAGCAUGGUGGUGGUAGCAUCAUGAUAUGAGGCACGGUGGCGGCAGCAUCAUGAUGUGAAGCAUGGUGGUGGUAGCAUCAAGAUGUGGGGAUGUUUCUCAACAGCAGGCCCAGCAGGCUUGUAAAGGUAGCUUUUACGCUUGUGCUGUUGACAUGAUUGUGAAUUGAGAUGAAUCUUCAGUAUGUAAUGAUAGGACUUACAGUGAUAAACAUUUAAAUGAGCAUAUUUUGUAACAGAAAGAUGUUAAACUGCUGGGUAUUGUUGAAGGUGAAGAUAAACUGGAAAUGGUUUAGCAUUGACUGUGACUUGAAAAGAGGUGUGGUAAAGCAUCAGGGCCCUCAAAAAACACAGUGCAAGAUUGUAAAGGCCCA
ensembl:lncRNA